rnacentral:misc_RNA from 1 species
GAUGGAAGAACGCAGCGAAAUGCGAUAAGUAAUGUGAAUUGCAGAAUUCAGUGAAUCAUCGAAUCUUUGAACGCACAUUGCGCCCGCCAGUAUUCUGGCGGGCAUGCCUGUUCGAGCGUCAUUUCAACCAUCAAGCCCCCGGGCUUGUGUUGGGGACCUGCGGCUGCCGCAGGCCCUGAAAACCAGUGGCGGGCUCGCUAGUCACCCCGAGCGUAGUAGUUACAUCUCGCUCAGGGCGUGCUGCGGGUUCCGGCCGUUAAAAGCCUUUUACCCCAAGGUUGACCUCGGAUCAGGUAGGAAGACCCGCUGAACUUAAGCAUAUCAAUAAGCGGAGGA